CACAUCCAUACAGGAAGUUAUCACAGGGCACAAUUAAACCUGCCCCAUAACUGACAGCGGUAUUUCCUGUUGGGGUGGUUGCACCACACAGACCAGUAACUUUGCUUGUUCCUCUGAAGCACACAGUAUAGGUUAAGAUCUGGGUUGAAAGAGAACAUAGAAAAUUUCACUCAAGACAAGAGUUAACAAGAUGCUGGUUCUAAGCCUUCUGGGAGCAGCUUUCAGCUCCAUUUGCCUUGCAACCAGCAUGGCCCAGAAGGUAGUGCAAACUCAGGCUUCAAUUUCUGUGAUGGAGACGAAAACUGUGGCAAUGGACUGUGUGUACGAAACCCGGGACAGUUCUUACUACUUAUUCUGGUACAAGCAAACGGCAAGUGGGGAAAUGGUUUUCCUUAUUCGUCAGGAUUCUUACAACAAGGAAAAUGCAACAGAGGGUCGUUAUUCUCUGAACUUCCAGAUGUCAAAAAGUUCCAUUGGACUCAUCAUCAGAGCCACGCAGAUUGAGGAUUCAGCAGUAUAUUUCUGUGCUAUGAGUGAGGGCACAGUGGCAGAGGCAUCUAAAAGAGCCCCACAAAAACCUCAACCAGAGACAAAGGUUCUGAGAAUAUACUCCACAGACAGGAAGAGGCAAGGACUAUGGUAGCACAGGAAAGGGUUUGGCAAUAAACUUUAGUACAAUUCAUGUGAGAUGUCCAUUUUAAAUCAGUUACCUGAGGUAUCCAUGUUCAGGGCUAGCACAGGUCGGCACUAAGUCCUCUGCAUCUAUCAUGGCUUCCAAUUGAGUGGUUUUGAGGGAUCCUAAGUGUUCAAACAAGUGGGUUUCUGAUUCUUGUGCCUUCCCUUGAAUUCUUUUCUUUCUCUUGGUUUGUCUUGUUCAAUUUUGAUGUGAUAGACUUUAUUUUAUCAUUAUGUUAUAUAUUAUUUUUUAAGUUUUGUUGUUUUUUUCUCUAAUAUUUUCUAAUGAAAGGCAGAACAUGAGUAGACCGAGAUGGGAAGGUCAGUGGGGAGGAACUUGGAGCCAGAUGCAGUAGUGAAUGUCUGUAGUCCCAGAGCUCAGAGGUAAGCACAGACUAGCAUUUGGAAAGUAUUUCUUUGUCUACCCACAAUUUGUAUCUAAGCAAAUCAACAGGACUCAGCCACUUGAUUAAAUCUGCCUGGGACAAAAACGUAUAUGUAGAAAAAAGUAAAACACAAUUCAGUACAGCUUCAUAAUCUACUGUUGGUGUUAUUCAGGUGGGAAAACUAUUAAACUACUUUCAGAUCAAAUGAGUAAUUCUACUGUUAAGUUUUUUAACUUGAAAAGUUGUUCUGUCAUUUCUGCAGUAUUUUUAUGGAAUGUCUAACUGCCAGACAAAUUAUUAAAUAAGAUGUCAUACACUGACUUUUAUCAAAGCUAGAAUUGGGACCAAUUAAGGCAGAAAAGUUUCUUUUAAGUUAGACCUCUUUCUAUAAUCAUACUACAAAAGCCUUUGUGCAACAAG